rnacentral:rRNA from 1 species
AGCUCAGUAACACGUGGCCNAGCUACCCUGUGGACGGGAAUACUCUCGGGAAACUGAGGCUAAUCCUCGAUAACGCUUUGCUCCUGGAAGGGGCAAAGCCGGAAACGCUCCGGCGCCACAGGAUGCGGCUGCGGUCGAUUAGGUAGACGGUGGGGUAACGGCCCACCGUGCCCAUAAUCGGUACGGGUUGUGAGAGCAAGAGCCCGGAGACGGAAUCUGAGACAAGAUUCCGGGCCCUACGGGGCGCAGCAGGCGCGAAACCUUUACACUGUACGAAAGUGCGAUAAGGGGACUCCGAGUGUGAAGGCAUAGAGCCUUCACUUUUGUACACCGUAAGGUGGUGUACGAAUAAGGACUGGGCAAGACCGGUGCCAGCCGCCGCGGUAAUACCGGCAGUCCGAGUGAUGGCCGAUAUUAUUGGGCCUAAAGCGUCCGUAGCUGGCUGAACAAGUCCGUUGGGAAAUCUGUCCGCUUAACGGGCAGGCGUCCAGCGGAAACUGUUCAGCUUGGGACCGGAAGACCUGAGGGGUACGUCUGGGGUAGGAGUGAAAUCCUGUAAUCCUGGACGGACCGCCGGUGGCGAAAGCGCCUCAGGAGAACGGAUCCGACAGUGAGGGACGAAAGCUAGGGUCUCGAACCGGAUUAGAUACCCGGGUAGUCCUAGCUGUAAACGAUGUCCGCUAG